UGAGAAUAAUCCCCGAUAGAUCACAGUGCCUGGAAUGGCCUGUGGUUCAAAUGAUUUAUCGCCGUAGGAUGGGACUGCGGCCUAUCAGCUAGUUGGUGAGGUAAUGGCCCACCAAGGCUAUAACAGGUACGGGCUCUGAGAGGAGGGGCCCGGAGAUGGGUACUGAGACACGGACCCAGGCCCUAUGGGGCGCAGCAGGCGAGAAACCUUUGCAAUGUGCGAAAGCACGACAAGGUUAAUCCGAGUGUCUCCUGCUAAAGGAGUCUUUUGUCAGUCGUAGAACCACUGGUGAAUAAGGGGUGGGCAAGUUCUGGUGUCAGCCGCCGCGGUAAAACCAGCACCUCGAGUGGUCAGGAGGUUUAUUGGGCCUAAAGCAUCCGUAGCCGGCUGUCUAAGUUUUCGGUUAAAUCUAUGCGCUUAACGUAUAGGCUGCCGAAAAUACUGGACAGCUAGGGAGUGGGAGAGGUACACGGUACUCGAUAGGAAGGGGUAAAAUCCUUUGAUCUAUUGAUGACCACCUGUGGCGAAGGCGGUGUACCAGAACACGUUCGACGGUGAGGGAUGAAAGCUGGGGGAGCAAACCGGAUUAGAUACCCGGGUAGUCCCAGCUGUAAACGAUGCAGA
rnacentral:rRNA from 1 species